CCUACGGGAUGCACCAGUGGGGAAUAUUGCACAAUGGGCGCAAGCCUGAUGCAGCCAUGCCGCGUCUAUGAAGAAGGCCUUCGGGUUGUAAAGUACUUUCAGCGGGGAGGAAGGUGUCGUGGUUAAUAACCACAGCAAUUGACGUUACCCGCAGAAGACGCACCGGCUAACUCCGUGCCAGCAGCCGCGGUAAUACGGAGGGUGCAAGCGUUAAUCGGAAUUACUGGGCGUAAAGCGCACGCAGGCGGUCUGUCCAGUCGGAUGUGAAAUCCCCGGGCUCAACCUGGGAACUGCAUUCGAAACUGGCAGGCUAGAGUCUCGUAGAGGGGGGUAGAAUUCCAGGUGUAGCGGUGAAAUGCGUAGAGAUCUGGAGGAAUACCGGUGGCGAAGGCGGCCCCCUGGACAAAGACUGACGCUCAGGUGCGAAAGCGUGGGGAGCAAACAGGAUUAGAUACCCGGGUAGUC
rnacentral:rRNA from 1 species